UACGAAGGGGGCUAGCGUUGCUCGGAAUUACUGGGCGUAAAGCGCACGUAGGCGGCUUUCUAAGUCGGGGGUGAAAUCCUGGAGCUCAACUCCAGAACUGCCUUCGACUACUGGAGAGCUUGAGUCCGGGAGAGGUGAGUGGAACUGCGAGUGUAGAGGUGAAAUUCGUAGAUAUCGAGAGGAACACCGGUGGCGAAGGCGGCCUCUGACAGUGACGUGC
rnacentral:rRNA from 1 species